UGACAUUAACAGCACAGCAGAUGGAGCGAAGAGUCUGCUCUGAUGUGACAAGGGAAGCAUCUUCUCUAGAGGUUCUUUUUGUGUUUGUGUGUGUAUCUCAGUCGAACUCCUGCUCCAAUGCUUUACCAUGCAACAUUGAAACGUGUGAGAAUGGAGUGGCAUGUGUUUCAGACUGGUUGAUAAGAAGCUUACACAGAGAGAAUCUCAACAUAGAUCAUUUCACUAACGACUUUUGUGGCCAGUAGAUAAAUUGGUUUCACCCCCCCUCCAUAUUUGAGGCCUACUGGAGCAGUAUCUCAGCACGAAGCAGCCAAAAGAAGAAAAAGAAGAAGAGGAAGAAGGACACCAUCCGAAUGUCCGACAAGAAACUUCUCAUUUCAUGACUAUUUAGAGGAGCCAUCCUCUGAGGCGCAACUCCCCUCCCACAGCCUAAUGUCUUCUUUGAUUCAGAGGCGUCUCGUUAGAUAAAUGGAAUUCCUUACGCUGACUGAUGGCUGUUCAGUUCUGAGACAGCCCCGAAGUACCACUAGUUUGUGCUUUUUAGAUAAGAAAGAGUUUUGUUAUAGAUCCCAGAAAUGAUACGAAGCUGUCAUACCUCUCCUGUUAUCAAAAUUGAAGACUUAUCUAAGGGUUUUAAAACACUAUGAUCCACAUUAAUGCCAAAAUGUCAAAGCUUGUCAGUAAGGAGGUACAUUGAUAAGUAAGCAGAUUUUACAGUGUCUUCCAUAUAUUGUACUACAUGUGCACUAUGCUGUGGAUGUAAACAUUGUUGUCUUGAAAGAAGCUAUGUCUGCCUUUAACCUUGGGUGUGGGUCUGUCUAACUGUCUCUUGGGGUGUCUGUCUUACUGCGUGCCUGACUGUGUAUCUGUCUGUAUCUGUCUUUGUCUUUCUCUACAGAAUCUGUGUCUGUCUGCUUGUCUCUCUCUCUAUCUGUUUGUCUUUCUGUCUGUCUGUGUCUCUAUCUCUCUGUUUAUUUAUCUAAUGUUAUUGAUAAGAAUUUAAAAAAUGUAGUAUUUAACAUCUGACAAGUAUUUCUGGCACUACUGAACACACUGGCUGCUUGUGUGUUUUGCAAAAAGCCACCUUAAUAUAGUCAAACAC